rnacentral:tRNA from 2 species
UAUUAGCUCAGUUGGUUAGAGUGCACCCCUGAUAAGGGUGAGGUCCCUGGUUCAAAUCUAG